rnacentral:rRNA from 1 species
UGACCUCUGACCUCAAAUCAGGUAGGACUACCCGCUGAACUUAAGCAUAUCAAAGG